rnacentral:rRNA from 1 species
UACGAAGGGGGCUAGCGGUGUUCGGAAUUACUGGGCGUAAAGGGCGCGUAGGCGGCGUGGCAAGUCAGGCGUGAAAGCCCCGGGCUCAACCUGGGAACCGCGCUUGAGACUGGCAUGCUCGAGUUCGGGAGAGGAUGGUGGAAUUCCCAGUGUAGAGGUGAAAUUCGUAGAUAUUGGGAAGAACACCGAUGGCGAAGGCAGCCAUCUGGACCGACAUUGACGCUGAGGAGCGAAAGCUAGGGGAGCAAACGGG